rnacentral:rRNA from 1 species
GAUGAACGCUGGCGGCGUGCCUAAUACAUGCAAGUCGAGCGAACAGACGCGGCGCUUGCUCCUCUCACGUUAGCGGCGGACGGGUGAGUAACACGUGGAUAACCUACCUAUCAGACUGGGAUAACCUCGGGAAACCGGCGCUAAUACCGGAUAAGAUCUUGCACCGCAUGGUUCAAUGGUGAAAGACGGCUUUGCUGUCUGUUCUCGAUGGAUCCGCGCUGCAUUAGCUAGUUGGUACGGUAAAGGCUUACCACGGGGAGCAUGCGUAGACGACCUGCGAGAGGGAUCGGCCACAUUGGAACGGAGACAGGGUCCAGACUCCUACGGGAGGGAGCAGUAGGGAAUCGUACGCAAUGGUCGGAAGCCUUGCGGAGCAACGCGGCGUGAGUGAUGGAGGUCUUCGGAGCGGGAAGCUGGGUUAUGAGGUAAGAACAACUGUGGAAGUAGCUGUGGAGGGCGUGACGGUAACGAGUCAGAAAGCCCCGGCUAACUACGUG